AACUAAGUUUGUUCUUGGUAUAAGCUUUCGUGUGCAUACACACUUCUUCAGAUAAUCUGAAGAAGUAUUUGAAGAAGUGUGCAUGCACAUGAAAGCUUAUACAAAGAACAAACUUAGUUGG